AUGACCAAAUUGGUAGUGGUGUAUGGAAUGGGCUCAGAGCCAUCCAAUUCCAAUCCACUUUUGCCUUCUGGCCUUCAUGCAGUUGGUAAACCUGUGAUUGUUGUACAGACUCAAGUUUCUGUCUUGAAGUUUAAGUACAUUCAUAAAAAAGGCAAGGAGAAGAUGAUUGGUGGUCGUUCACCACAUAUUAGACAAUCUAUGUAUAUUUAUCAUUCUCACCAGCUGAUAAAACAUUCUCUAUCACAUCCUUUAUUUACGUCUCGAGUUAUCUAUGAUAAGGGCGCACUUUACCUUCUAGUUACACUGAACGUGCUCUGUUGUCUAUCUACUCUUUGUGUUUUCAGCUCUUGGAUUUCCUCAGGGGUUGCUGCCCAAUCGCCAAAAGCAGAGCUUAAUUGGUUUUCAGCGAUGCAAAGUACACUGGCAGUGUGGUGUAUGCCAUUGCCAAGGAGCACACAGAGGAAGAAGCUCUUGCACCAUGCUACAUCACGGUCCAGUUAA
rnacentral:rRNA from 1 species